CGGAUUACUGGGCGUAAGCGCACGUAGGCGGAUAUUUAAGUCAGGGGUGAAAUCCCGCAGCCCUUCUGCGGAACUGCCUUUGAUACUGGGUAUCUUGAGUAUGCAAGAGGUAAGUGGAAUUCCGAGUGUAGAGGUGAAAUUCGUAGAUAUUCGGAGGAACACCAGUGGCGAAGGCGGCUUACCGGUCCAUUACUGACGCUGAGGUGCGAAGGCGUGGGGAGCAAACAGGAUU
rnacentral:rRNA from 1 species